UGUACCCACUUUCAGGGCUGAUCAUUAGGU
rnacentral:piRNA from 1 species